ACUGAGCUACGCGGUCAGGUCGGUUCGAGUAUGUGAUAUUUCGGAACUGAGUCUAGUUUACACUGAUAAAGAAGGAACUAGAGUCAGUUCCGAAAUGUCACAUACUCGAACCGACCUGACCGCAUAGCUC